GAUGUGGCACCCAGGGAAUGGAUGUGGCACUCAGGGGACACACAUAACACUUGGGGAGGGGGACAUGGCACCCAGGGAAUGGACAGGGCACCCAGAGGACACAUGUGACACUUGGGGACAGGGACAUGGCACCCAGGGGAUGCAUGUGGCACUUGGGGACACACACACACACAUGGCACCCAGGGGAUGGACAUGGUGCCCAGGGGACAUAGUACCCAGGGGAGGCUGCGGGAGGGGGACAGCACCCAGGGGACACACACAGAACCCAGGGGGCAUGGCAUGUGGGAGAUGUGGUACCCAGGGGACAUGGCACCCAGGGGACACACAUGCACCCAAGGGGAUGGACAUGGCAUCUGGGGGACACACACGGAACCCAGGGGACACAGGACCUAGGGGAUGGACAUGGCACNNNNNNNNNNCUGUGACCCCCAGGGGUGCCAGCCAGGACCCCACGUCCUGCAGCCUCCCCCCCCACAGUGGGUGACCCUCUUUUCUCCCCCAGGACCCCCACCCCAGAGACGGGGGACGGCGAGUGCGAGGGGCCCCAGGAGGAGAGCCGGGGGUGCUCGGGGGGGCCCUGCCCACCCCUCUGCCUGCAGGGGGGCAGCGAGCGGCAGCUGGGCGAGAGCUGGCCCCAGGGCGAGUGCCAGCGAUGCACCUGCACCCCCGAGGGCACCCAGUGCCAGGACAUCCCCUGUGCCGGGUCGGGGGGCUGCGUGUGGGGUGCCUGGACCCCCUGCUCCCGCUCCUGUGGCACCGGCCUGGCCACCCGGGAGGCUGCCUGUCACCACAGCCACGGUGACGGUGACAGUGAUGGUGCCGGUGAUGGUGACGGUGAUGGUGAUGGUGCCAGCCAGGAGCUACACCGUGAGGCGCGGGUGUGUUAUCUGCGCCCCUGCCCAGGUAAGGUGUCGGGGUGGGUUGGGGGGGGGCUGGAUGGGGUCCCUGCCC
rnacentral:lncRNA from 1 species